UGAGAGACUGAGUUAGCUGUGACACUGAGUUAGCUGAGAGAGAACUUGCCGAGUAGUUUUUAGGGUUCUACCGCCAUUCUUGCGUCAUUCCCGCUGCUAUUUCCGCCGUCGACACCGCCACCACUGUCAUGUCCGUUGCGGUAGAGAGCUUCUGCCAUGUCCGUCCUAUACUGUUGUUGCUGCCACAGUGAAGUUUCCAAAUCUGUUCGUUAUUAAUUUGUUCGCUAUUAAUCGAGCCACCUCCUCGCUAUUAAUUUCUAGAUCUGUUCACUAUUAAUCGAGCCACCUCCUCAACGCGUUUUCAGAUCUGUUCCCUUCAAGCUUUUUCUUCGACGCAACUUUCUCUCCCUCCAUGUUUCUCCUCUGCCGCUGAGUAAAUUUCAGAUUAUAUUGUAAACCAGAAGUUCUCUGGGAUGCCAAGCAUGAGGAACAAGAUUAUUUUCCGCUCUUCAUCUAGCUGGGACUCAACCUCAACAAGCUUAGCUCUCGUUUCAUUGCAUUCUUUCCUAGCAUUCCCUGUCUCCCUCUUCUGGGCCUCUAAUUCAGCCAGCAGCUGCUGAACUGUAUUAGACUUUGAAGACUGCGGUCCUCCUCCAGAACCUAGCACACAUGUUUUAUUCCUGACCACUGACUCGAAGGCAUUAUUAAUAAAUUCAGUCAUGCCAAAGGGCAAACACAUAAAAAAUCCAUUAAAGUUUGUAGAUGAGAGGGAAAACAACAAUGCUUCUCGUUCACUUCAACCUCUAGCACCAGCAGCAUUUGAAGAUACCACUAGUGUAGAGGCUAGUGAGGCUCCUUCUCAAGAUCCUUCUCAAGCUCCUUCUCAAGCCGCUGCAAAUUCCAUUCAUCUGAUGGAGCCACACGUUGUUCUAACUCAAAGUCUUCAUCUGCUUGGAAUAUGGAGAUAAUUGACUCUACAAAUAUGAAGAAGAAAGCUAAGAUCAAAGUCAAGGAUGUUUGCAACUUACCUAGGGGAGACCAUGUAAUUGUAGAGGUUGACGAAGAGGGUGCGGCAUAUGGUGAAGCACAAGGUUUACUUGCUGGCUAUUGUGGUAUAUUAGCAACUAAUGCACGUAUCUUUCCAAUUAGCUUUGAAAAGUGGUCAGGACAAGAAAAUGGUGGCAUGCCUAAGUCUUUUAAGGAUGAGUGCUGGUGCACGAAAUUGCAAUCACACUUUUGCAAUUCCGCACAACUAACCAGCAAGUGCACUGGGUCGUCCAAGUAAUACCUUACGUGAGUAAGGGUCGAUCCCACGGAGAUUGUCGGCUUGAAGCAAGCUAUGGUUAUCUUGUAAAUCUUAGUCAGGAUAUCAAUAAUUAUCAGGGUUGAUUGUGAAAAGUAAAAGAACAUGAAAUAAGUACUUAUUUUGCAGUAAUGGGGAACAGGUUGAGGUUUUGGAGAUGCUUCAUCUUUUGAAUCUCUGGUUUCCUACUGUCUUCUUCUUCAAGCAUGCAAGGCUCCUUCCAUGGCAAGAUGUAUGCAAGGGUUUCACCGUUGUCAGUGGCUACCUCCCAUCCUCUCAGUAGAAAUGUUCAACGCACCCUGUCAUGGCACGGCUAUCCAUC